UGAUAGAGGCGCGGCUGACAAGAGUAACCCCGGCUACCGGCAGGAACCGGCGGGGCAAAAGGGAAGGCUGCCGAGGGGAUGUGCCGGUUCCUGCAUGCACAUCUGCCGGGACGUCGGGGAAUACCCGCCGUACUGUCGCCGAAAGGCGGAGAGCUGUC
rnacentral:ncRNA from 1 species